rnacentral:rRNA from 1 species
AUUGAACGCUGGCGGCAGGCCUAACACAUGCAAGUCGAACGAGUGGCGGACGGGUGAGUAAUGUCUGGGAAACUGCCCGAUGGAGGGGGAUAACUACUGGAAACGGUAGCUAAUACCGCAUACCAUCGGAUGUGCCCAGCUGGGCUUAUCUAGUAGGUGGGGUAACGGCUCACCUAGGCGACGAUCCCUAGCUGGGCUGAGAGGAUGACCAGCCAGACUGGAACUGAGACACGGUCCAGACUCCUACGUGAGGCAGAAGUGGGAAAUAUUGCACAAUGGGCGCAAGCCGGAUGCAGCCAUGCCGCGUGUAUGAAGAAGGCCUUCGGGUUGUAAAGUACUUUCAGCGGGGAGGCGUUACCCGCAGAAGAAGCACCGGCUAACUCCGUGCCAGCAGCCGCGGUAAUAC